AUUGAACGCUGGCGGCAGGCCUAACACAUGCAAGUCGAGCGGAUGACAGGAGCUUGCUCCUUGAUUCAGCGGCGGACGGGUGAGUAAUGCCUAGGAAUCUGCCUGGUAGUGGGGGACAACGUUUCGAAAGGAACGCUAAUACCGCAUACGUCCUACGGGAGAAAGCAGGGGACCUUCGGGCCUUGCGCUAUCAGAUGAGCCUAGGUCGGAUUAGCUAGUUGGUGAGGUUAUGCCUCACCAAGGCGACGAUCCGUAACUGGUCUGAGAGGAUGAUCAGUCACACUGGAACUGAGACACGGUCCAGACUCCUACGGGAGGCAGCAGUGGGGAAUAUUGGACAAUGGGCGAAAGCCUGAUCCAGCCAUGCCGCGUGUGUGAAGAAGGUCUUCGGAUUGUAAAGCACUUUAAGUUGGGAGGAAGGGCAGUAAGUUAAUACCUUGCUGUUUUGACGUUACCGACAGAAUAAGCACCGGCUAACUCUGUGCCAGCCGCCGCCGUAAAAC
rnacentral:rRNA from 1 species